UUUCUGCAUUCCUGGGUCUUGAACUUUGUUCUUGGUCCUCCGUUUGACUUUUUGCAUAAAGUCUCCAUAUUUACCACCAGUUGAAGGCUGGUUUUCCCUGUUAGAAGGCUAACUUUCUUCAACUGCGAUUUUAGAGGGAGGGUCGACCACAGCAUUCUUGCCAGAGGCAGGGAGAUGCCCCGGCUAAGAGUCCUGGGCUUUUCCUCAAUGGGAAGCAGAGUCUUUGCUGUCUGCUUGGUCCAUUUAGGCUACUGCUGUUGCCUUAUUUACGGAGUGGAGGCGGGAAAGAGCCCCCAGAGUAGCCACUCCACUGUCCAGCUUCUACCUUUUCCCCAAUGGCUAUAGAAGUCUAAGCAAGUUUCAGGCUGACUUCCAUCGAGUGAGGUCUCAGUAAGGGAAGAGUCAACCCAGUGAUUGUAGGUAACUAAUUUUUUUUUUUUCUGUAAGUUAAGGAGUGUGCUGACGCUAAGACAAUUUCCCAAGGUUCUGAAUGUCAAGGCCCCCACCCCCAUUCUCUCUCACUCUUGAAGCUGAGAAGGAUUCUGUAGGUAGCAAUAAGAUUUUUACAUUGGAUGCUGCCCAUGGUAUCUCUGUCUCGGAGAGCUGGAGCUCAUAGCUGUGAUUCCUCCCCACCAGUUUCUUUUGCUUCCUUUUAUUCUCUGUGAAGGUGUUAAUGAACAGUUAAUUGCUUAAGGGUGGGCUUGCUGACAAAGAAGAAUAAGGACAGGAAAGCAGAGAUAACAGUUUGAAGACCUGUGAAUAGAGAACUGUAAAAGCGUGUUUCCGCAGAGCCUCAGCUUUGGGGGGCGGUUUAUUGAAGACCUCCAGAGGAGAAAGUUCUAUGUCUGCUGACUGGUUGUAUUAUGGGACAGAGACUGGAGAGUGAACCACAGACUCAGAGACUGAACUACAGAAGCAGAGGACCUCCCGCUCUGGGCACAGGCAGAGGAGAGCCUAAGCCAAGGCUGUUUAUUAGUUUAAUAUCUGUAGACCGAACGUGAUGCUCAAGACGGUACCAGAGAGAGAGAGAGAGAGAGAGAGAGAGAGAGAGAGAGAGAGAGAGAGAGAGAGAGAGAGAGGUUCCAUUCACCUUGACCCUGAGACGAAGCCACACCGAGGGAGUCUAAGCAAGAGGCGAGCAGAAGCGAACCUUUGUACCCUUGACUUUUGCAGAAGGCUCACCCAGAUCAUCUUCUAACUCCACAGAAUCCCCUUUCCUCAUGCCUGUCCUCUCUGACACACUGUCCUAGCUAUUUUUUUUUGUUGUUGUUUCUUUUUCUUUUUUACUGUGAAAACGUGCACACACACACACACACACACACACACACACACAGUGUCUACCAGACAGUGGCAGGAACCUCUCAUUGACAGGAUGGUGUGAUAGCAUGGGCUCAGUAUGGAAUCAUGAUAUGCUGUGUGUGACUCACUCCUUGUUUGACCACCGUCGGAGUCGGCCACCAGCCCAUCCAUUAUCCGUAGCUCGUCUCAUCUUCCUAAGCCUAUUACAUUAGCUCAUCUCUUUUCGCCCAGUUGACAUCCGGUUUUCUUUCUUUGUUGGAGCCCCCGGGACCAUCUGCAUAACCCUCUCAUGCACUCAUUGCCCCAUACAGUGUCAUCCGUAGAUAACAUUAACAUGCUGUUUACACUUUCCUGGGUCACCAAUCCAAAUGUUAAAUGAGUCAGAGGGUGACACUUGGCAUUCACCAUCUGCCGCAGGUUGACAUUUGCCACUACUGCAAACAUUCACCCUCUUAAAACGGAACUGGAUCCAGUGCUUGUUAAAAGUGGACCCAUUCAAACCUGAGUGAUGUUGGUAUGUGCAGCAACAGCAUUCCCGUUAGCCAUAGCCUUUGUUCAUAGUCACCGUCCUCCCCCCGCCCCCCACAGCCCCGUUCCCCCACAUGGCCCGUGGAACCCAGAACUGGCCAGAGUCUGGGAGGAAGGACUGAGGGAGUGACAGGAUGCCAUCGAUGCUGCCAGGCUGCAGAGUUGGGAGGCUCAGCCGGCUGGUUACUCAGAACCUAGGAGCAGAUAGCAGUGCCCUGCGAUACUGGCAGGACUGGGUCACGAGGGCAAUCUAGCACAGGCUAGCUCUGUUGAGUUAUUUGAGAUGCAAAUUAGAUUCAGGAAGAAAACCUAUUUGGCUUCUUUGUCUACGAUGAGUUAGACCCUUAAACUUCUAUACCAUUUAGAACUGAUGGAAUACUGUUUUCCUGGCUGAACUACUAAAUAUUGAUUUAUAAUUUUCUCUCUCUCUUACUCCUAGAGAUGAAAUCCAAGGUCUUUCAUAUGCAAAUGAAACAUCCUUUUUUUCAAAUUGUGGCAUAGCAUUAAAAAAGAAAACCACAUUCUGGUGGACGAACCUCAGCAAGAACAGCAAUAAACAGAGCUACAGAAGCCAAACAAGCAAGGCCUGAAGUGGCGAAGUGAAGGAAAGAAAAUUACCUACGUGGUGCUCUAGUCUCAAGAGGACACUGGCCUGAGAGAGAAGUUCUGGAAGCAUCCUCAGUCCUUCAUAGACUUGCUCUGGCUCUCCCUGGAUUCAACUCAAGUAGAAGUAUGAGCCAGAAGUCAGAAGUGUUCUUGCACAGGGGCUCCGGAGACUGGAAUGUGAAGCCCUUGUGAGUGCUGCCGUUGCUGGCUCAGAUGCAAGAGCUGCUUAGGGCAAAGGCCGAGAGGCUAAUGACCUAAUAAUAUUACACGUCACAGGUGAAGGAUAUGGAGCCGACUGUCAGACUUCCUGGCGUCUACGGGAUGAAUGUGCACACAUUUCCAAAGCCAGGUAUGCAGGCUGUUCCCGGCUGCCUCCUAAUAGCAAGAAGAGCAGUAAGGAGACAUUACAGAAGAGACAUUACAGAAGCCAGAAUGUCCACCCACAACCUGACCUCUUGGUUCUGAAUGUUGGUGGGGAAGCGGUUUAUAAGCUGAUAAAGCAAGGAAGUCUGCAGCCACACUCACCCACAUUCCAGCUCAACCCUCUUCCUGAAUCGACUAGGCCUUUUAUCACCACUUAGCAAAGCCUGCUCUUGUGAAAAUUGUACAGUGAACCCUUAAUGAGUUCUCAAACAAGAAUGAGGUGCUUUGGGUGUUCAUCAGGACGGCAGGGAAGAGACCAGAUGGCUUAUUAUUGGAAGCAGAUCAUUAAUUUAGACAUGCUCUUCCCCCACCUCUUCCUCCACUCUCUGUCUUUUGGGUCUAUCAGGAAAACCAGUAAUUGACUAUUUGGGGGAAAAGGAGAAGUUGGCUCUUUUGGAAUGGCUGACUGAAUAAAAGACAAGGGCUCCUCCU